UACGUAGGGACCAAGCGUUGUUCGGAUUUACUGGGCGUAAAGGGCGCGUAGGCGGCGCGGUAAGUCACUUGUGAAAUCUCUGAGCUUAACUCAGAACGGCCAAGUGAUACUGCAGUGCUAGAGUGUGGAAGGGGCAAUCGGAAUUCUUGGUGUAGCGGUGAAAUGCGUAGAUAUCAAGAGGAACACCUGAGGUGAAGACGGGUUGCUGGGCCAACACUGACGCUGAGUG
rnacentral:rRNA from 1 species